rnacentral:lncRNA from 1 species
UCACCACAUGAACAAGUCUAAACUCAAUUUUUUGAAGGAAGAUGGUGGAAGAAAUAGAGGUAGUAAUCGGGAGGGUGUUUGGAAGGAAUUGAGGGACUUAAGCUAGCUGUGGUAAGUCUAUAGGUGCAGAUGCAGGGGUCUCUUUAUGUCACUCCUCAACUAGAUGGUCAAGCCAACGAAGAAGAAGUGAAGGGUGAUGUGGUUGCGGCUAAUUAGCUUUGUUAAUUGGUUUAUCCAAACAACUAAAGGUAAUGUCCUAAUUUGAUGGGUCCUGCUUGCCUUCUGGCUUUAGAUUGGGUGCAAGGAUUGAGAAUAAAAAGAAUUCGGUAUGCUGCAAUGGAAUACUUAAACUCACAGCUGAGUCAUGUACACUUUCUUUCUUCCUAUGCAGAUUUUGGUUUAGUUGUAGCUUGUCUUUUUACUGGCAGGUUUUUGUAUAAGGGUUGAGACACCCCUAAAGUGUCC